GGGGACAGAACGUCCUAACCGAGCAGGAGGAAAGCCUGGAAAGAAACUGCUGGCCAGGACCUGAACCGGGCGCAUCUCACGAAGAUCACCGCGAGUUCAGGGCAGAGCAAAGAACUGUUGUAUAAUGAAGAUGUGAAUUAUUUGUGGAUGCUAAUGGCAACUGCUAACAUCUAAUGAGUCAGGGAUUGUGUCCAAGGAUUUAUGUACAUUAUCUUGAGUCUCAAAACCUAUGAGGUUGUGUCCUGUCCCCUUGCCUCGAGUUUCAAAAACCACAACACCAUCUAGCAAGGGCACCUGUUGUACCUCGUUUCUGAAGAGUGAGCCUGGGCUGCAAUGAAUUGAUGGCUGGAUCUGCAUUGCCAUUUUGUAACCUUGAGAGAAAAGUCUGGAGAAUCAUAGGUGCAUCAGCCCUGACAACACUGACUCGGAGAACCAAGAUCAGCAUUUAACUCCUUGGUCAAAAAUAUGCAGCGCCCACACGCGCAAAAGGAGUCCCCUGGUGGCCUAGCAGGCUGCAGCCAUCUCAGCUGCUAUCACCAUUGGAUGUACCAAGAGGAGCCACCAUGGCACCACUCAUCACCACAGCGGCCACUUGUUAGGUUUACCAACGGAGGAACACGCACGGCCAAGUCGAUAAAGCAAGAGAGAUUUAUGAAGGCAUCUGAAACAGAUGGGCUGAGUUCAAGAUGGCGCCACCCUGAUGCAGCCGUCGAGUCUGUUGUGACCACAUCUACCACUAUCUCCUCAGUCUCCAUUGCCUCUGCCGCCAUCUUUUCCGCCGUCUCCUCAGUGGAAGUC
rnacentral:lncRNA from 1 species